rnacentral:lncRNA from 1 species
AGGUGAAGGAGAACGUGGAAACGAGCAUUGCAGGGCUGCUGAACGUGCGAGUACGACGUGGGUAAUGGAAAGGUUGCUGCGGCAUGGGCAGUUACUAAGGCGCCAAUUUGCUUCAAUCUGCUUCCAUUGCUGCUGAAGACAUGUUGUGGGCUAGGGUUUGCACACUUGGGCCUUAUUGGGCCAAAUGUAAUUGGGUCAAGACUGGCUCAAGUUUUAUUGGGUUUGAUUAGUUAAUUUGGGCUCCAGGCAACAAUUAGGUAUUAAAACUGGGUCUGUAAUUUAUUGUAUUUUUAUUUUAAGCUUUAUGUAUUUGGGCCCGGGCUAAAAUGGCCUAUUACAGCUGCCCCUCUUUGCUCGUUAUCGUGUAACGGGAACAAAG